CUGCGAGCUGCAUCAACAAUAAAACGACAAGCAUCAUUAGUUUUCCAUUCCCAGGGCCUGGAAAAGAUAACCAGUUCUGAGGACUGGACGACAGCAGGGGUUUCUGUUGAUGUAUAACCAAAAAGUUAAGCCAUAGUGGGAUGCAAUAAAGAGAAGUUGGAAAAGAGACAAAUGAGAUGCAGAUAGCAGGAGUGGGAAGUAGAGGAUAUGAACCUUAGCAACUCCUUUUGGGGGAAAAUCUUUGAGCUUUGGAUCUAUACAUUGUUUAACUUUGUCCUCGCUCAGUCUCGGAGUUGCCUAGAAACAUAAUAUUAGUUAAGUUGAGACAAAAUUAGAAGCUUGGUUGACAAAAAACAGAGUGAGAAAAAAGAGAAGAUAUUUAAGAAAGGAAAAAUGUCUAACCCAAGUAACAAGAGACUGCUGUCCACGAGGCAUAUUGUGAUCAACGGGCUUCCUUCCAGUUAAUAGCUCAAGGAGAACCACCCCAAAGCUAUACACAUCGCUUUUCUGCGUCAGUUGUCCUGUCAUUGCAUAUCUGCAUUCCAUAUCCACCAACAAAUUAACAGACAACUUCUACAGAAAGGAACUUUAAGCCACAAAAUGUACCAUAAAAAUUGCACAGACAAAAGCCACUAGUGAGUUAAUUUAUUAGCAGGCCUUGAAAGAUCAAGGUGUCAAGAUAACUAAUUAGCCAUCAUAACCGACCGAACCUUUACCAACCGAAACAAUAUGCAGAUUAAUCCCCAUGUAAGAUAACAGACUGACAUUUGCAUCAAUUUAGGAGACUAUCCAAAUUAAGCAUCAAGCAUUUCAAACCAUGUCAGUUACUAGCUCCAAUAGUCAGGAAAUACAACUGUGUUAGAGUUCUUGUGGCCAUUUUAGGAGAUAAGCUAUGAAUCUGCAGGAAUGUCCUCUAUCGGGCAAUUAAAGCAGCCGUGGCUAUUUACUAUUUAAUUGAGUAUAGCUAAAUCAAAUGAACGCGAUAUUUUCCAUAGCUCUACACUCAACUCAAAGGCACAAUUAUACCUAUGGAUCUUAGCAGAGACAACCCUGACUUGUGCCCAUAUUUGUCUGCUAGCUUUUAUACUUUGAAAAAUAGAACCAAAUUGAAGAUUCAUACCUAACUCAUUUUAUGGCUAUUAAACUAAUACACCUAGUAAACUGGAAAAAGCAAAAUUGGAAUUUGAAGAAAAGAAUGGAUGUACAAAAUGAUGUACAAGUCAUGCAACUUCUUGAUCAAGAAGUUGCACGAGGCCUAUAGCUUUUGGAAUUUGAAUUUGACUGCAGUGUACUAAAUGAUGUAGGCUUACCCUGAAGUAGAAACAAACUCACAUCAUAGCAGGAAAAUACCAUAUGUAGCAUUUACAGAAAAGAAAUGAAGAGAGGAGUCAAAUAGCAUUACUCUGGUGCAUGAUAACCGAAUGUUCCAAGAACUCGAGUAGAAUGAAGACGAGCAGCCAUAUCCGGAGCCUGAUUUGAAAGGUUAAAAUCUGCAAUCUUUGCUUUGUAAUCUUCAACUACAAGCACGUUGCUGGAUCUGAUAUCUCUGUGAAUUAUAGCAGGUUGAACUUUCUCAUGCAAAUAUUCAAGUCCUCUGGCGGCAUCAACAGCGAUUCUUACCCUUGUAAUCCAAUCAAGUGUUGGUCCAGGCUGGGCGUUUUGCACCCCUUUACGGCCUGUCAGAACAAAUACAAUUCAAGCAACAUCUUUUAACCAUUCAUAUAUUGAAAAGAAUACCUUGGAUCAAAUUAAACUAAACAAUGGACUCCAUUAGAUGAUGCAUAAUUCUCUCACCAUGCAAUAUGUCGUGCAAAGAACCCAUCGUUGCAAACUCAUAUGCUAAUACACGAAGAUUCCCUUCUACACAGUAUCCAAGAAGCUCAACAAGAUUUUCAUGCUUUAGCCUUGAAACCAUAGAAACCUUGAAAAAGCAUAACCUCACAAUCAGUUGCCUUGCGCAAAGAAAUAACAGCAUGAAAGGAUAUAGAAUUACUUAGAUAGGGAAAGGAUAUCAGCACUAAAUUCCUUAACACAUACCUGCGUCAAGAACUCAACAUUUGAUUCUGGCUCAGAUGACACAUCAAGCUUUUUCACAGCCACAGCUUUACCACUUUCCAGGUCUGCAUAGUAGACUCUUCCAUAGGAUCCUUCACCAAUUAAAGCCUUUGUUCCAAAAUUGUCGGUUUUCUCCUUC
rnacentral:lncRNA from 1 species